GGGGCUGUUAUAGUUCGACAGGGGUUGGAAGACAGUAUCUGCAAGUCGUCAAAUUCACGAUACGAAUUAAACACAACAAUAAGUGCCAAUACAUUUAUUAGCAGAGUCAAGACAGCUUUUGCUGGCAUGACUUUUGCGCCAGCUUUCGCCUAAAACCGAAAGCCGUUCCCUAGUGACUCGAUGCCGAAGGCACUAGACAGAACGCCAAAAAAUCGGAUUGCAAACUAAUUAAGUCUCGCGUUAGUCUAAGUCUCUAUGAGACUGCAGUGCAAUUGUUCCGUUUGUUCUAGAGAUUGUACUAAAGAUGAAGAACAAACUAAGCUUGUAGAUGAUACGUUGAAAAAUUUCUGGACGGGAGUGCGAUUCUCCCCAGCUCCACCA
rnacentral:tmRNA from 1 species